AUGAAGAGAAAGGGUAUGGGGGGCAUUGGAAGUGGGUUUGGCGAGCACCGCAAGUCAACACAAAAAGGACACAUGUCCAACUCUCUAGAAUCUUUUUUAGGGCUCGGUGCUUUUUUGCUUUCUGUGGAAAGGGAAACAUUCCUCUUCGUUCUCUCUCUCCCUUGCAAGUUGUUCAAACUUUUUUUCUUUUUUAUAUUUUUCAUAUUUGAGGGGGAAGGCUUAGGAGAUGAACACUGAUGACUGGGCGCACAAGGUACUGCCGGUGGUGCGCUUGGGGCAACAGUAGCAGCUAGGCAGCGAGGAACUCCCUCUAUCACAAUUUUCUUUUGUUUUUAGAUCUAUGACAAUCUUACAGACAACGGCAACAGUGGUGGCUGGGCAGUGAGAAGCGACCAAUGCAGAGGUGUAUAAUAUUCGUUGAUUGCCCAUUGGAGCUUUGGUGCUUCCAACAAAAAAAAACAAGGAAAGAAGUAGGGCAGUGGAUGAACUCUAAUUGGAAGCUGACUAAUGAGAAUUGGAUUGAGGAAUGUUGGAUUCCAGCCCAAUAUCAUAAUUAGUCAGGCCUAUGUUUAUUUGGGGUGGGUUUGUAAUACUUGUGUAUUUAGUUUCUUUUAUAAUUUCAUGAAUCUUCAUGUUUAUACCAGUAAUUUUUUGUAUUCUAGGCUUCCUCAUAAAUAGACUGUGAAAGCCAUGUAAGAGCCAGUCUUUUGAUGAAUUUGAAUAGAAAGAAGUGUGAUUUUCCCCGAA